rnacentral:rRNA from 1 species
UACGGAGGGUGCAAGCGUUAUCCGGAUUCACUGGGUUUAAAGGGUGCGUAGGCGGGCAGGUAAGUCCGUGGUGAAAUCCCCGAGCUUAACUCGGGAACUGCCAUGGAUACUAUUUGUCUUGAAUAUUGUGGAGGUAAGCGGAAUAUGUCAUGUAGCGGUGAAAUGCUUAGAUAUGACAUAGAACACCAAUUGCGAAGGCAGCUCACUACACGGUCAUUGACACUGAGGCACGAAAGCGUGGGGAUCAAACAGG